UACCACUCAUUCCUUAUGCAGCACUUAAAUAUAUAAUUUUCUUUUUAUCUCAUUUCAUUGUUAGAUUGGGUUUUCAUUUUGGUGGCCUCUGCUGGUUUUUGUCUUGGGAUUAUAUGUUGUACACUUGCUUUCCUCGUCAUUUACAAAUUGAAAAAUCGCAAAAACAUAUACGUCCCUCAUAUGUGUGCUGAAGAGUGUCCUGUAACCAAUACCACAACACAGAUUUACGAAACAUCUCACAACAAUCCUGGUUUGCGUGAGAAUGUAGCUAUGAAUUUCAAGUCAAGUCAGGAAGCAAAUCCUUAUAGCCAAGCUGGAAAUACUUCAACAGAGGAUGGUGUUUAUAAUCAUUUAAGAGAAAAUACUGAAGCUUUCCUAAGCGAUGGCUUUUAUGAUGUCUCUCACUCUACAUCCGAUUGUAUUAAUUGGGACUCAAGAAAUGGCGACUAUGAUCUUGCAAAGAAUGUUUAUCAGACGUCAUUAUAAAUAAUGCCACUGAACCCAUG